rnacentral:RNase_P_RNA from 1 species
CGAGCCGGGCGGACGGCCGCGUGGGGAUCCUCGGAUCCUCCCGAGGAACGUCCGGGCUCCACAGGGCAGGGUGGUGGGUAACGCCCACCCGGGGUGACCCGCGGGACAGUGCCACAGAGAACAGACCGCCCAGCACUCAGGUGCUGGGUAAGGGUGAAACGGUGGUGUAAGAGACCACCAGCGCCUGGGGUGACUCAGGCGGCUAGGUAAACCCCACCCGGAGCAAGGUCAAGAGGGAGCACCCUGGUGCUCCUGCGCGGACGUUCGAGGGCUGCCCGCCCGAGUCCGCGGGUAGACCGCACGAGGCCGGUGGCAACACCGGUCCUAGAUGGAUGGCCGUCUCCCCGGCCGCCGCGAGGCGACCGGGCGACAGAACCCGGCGUACAGCCCGACUCGUCUG